rnacentral:pre_miRNA from 1 species
AUGUGAAUCACCUGGGGAACUUGUUAAAAUGAAGGUUCUGAUUCAUUAAGUCUGGGAUGGGGCCUGAGAUUCUGCCUUUUUAACAAACUCCCAGGAGAUCCCAAU